UAGGUUUUGCUAUUAGCUGUAUGACAUUAGGCUUUGAUAAAUUUGCUGCGAGGAGAGAAAUAGCAUGAAAAUUUGUUGGCUGAGUGAAAAUGUCUCUCAAGCUCACUUGGCACUUUAAUAGCCGAAAGCUGGAGACAUUCGGACAGCCGCUAAGGUGAAUAUGCCGCAAUUAUUGGAGACAUUGUCCGGACAUUGCCGCGGCCGUUUCCUGCUAUUCAACAGGGUACUUGCUAUGUUGGUCUAGUUUUGAAAUUGGUAUUGAUAAGUUAGUUUUAAUAUGUAUUUGAUAUACACCACUUAUAAUAUAUCCAUAUAAAG